UUUGAUUAUCUCUUCUGAUUUUGCAUUUUCGCUUGUAGGAAAAGCACGAUUCUAAAAGGAAGAAGGAAAUUGAAUGGCCAUCACUUAAACCUUGUUUAUACAAGCGUCGUUGAGACUGAUUAUUUUAUAUGUUUAUACACUAUCAUUGUGUGGACGAAAGUCAAAUCAUAUUUGUUGUUAGCAUGGCCAGUGAAUCACAAAAGUUGUUGUAUUAUUUGGUUCUUUACAAUCCAGGUUCUGUACAAUUUAUUCGUUGAUUGAUAGGUGCAUAGGAUUUACGGUUGUUUGAAUGAAGAAUUUUGAGGAAACUCGUAGAGAGAUGUCACAUGGUUGCACCUUUGUCGACGUAAAAGUCACAUGGUUGCAUAGGAUUUACGGUUGUUUGAAUGAAGAAUUUUGAGGAAACUCGUAGAGAGACGUCACAUGGUUGCACCUUUGUCGACGUAAAAGUCAC
rnacentral:lncRNA from 1 species